AGGACCUGCACACACACGGACCCCUCGCUGAUUUUUCCCUCACUCGCAACUGUUACGCUCGUCUCUCGUUUUCGUGUGUCAACGCGGACGCGCGCCUUAACCAACUACAGCGUCGUCUGGGCUCGGAUGUAACAAACUGUGUGUACGUAGACUUUUUGGUGCGGCUCACCAUAGUGGAGGAGGCGGAAGACGAAGCGCACGGUGAUCGAUAGGCUUAUAAAGAAGAGGAGCCAGACAGACAGACAGACAUACGCGAGGGGGCAGAAGGAGAAAGGAGACGAGGGAUCGAGUCGUGUAUGGGGGUCUCCUCUUGUUUUCCACCCCCGCAAGCGCACAGUGGUGGAGCGAACGCGACGUGAGUCGCUCGUGGUAGUGCUCCGUGUUUCUCGUGGGAUCGUCGAUUGAGACAUUUUGGGGGGGGGGGAAUCAUCGAGGAUACAGCAAAAAGAAGGCUGGACCAAUGGGUCGUACGGAUAUGUCGAAGACGCUCAACGCCUACAGAAUCAAAAAAAUCGAGACGAUCGGUAGAAUGACGGCCAUGACGCAGGAGGAGAUAGUGGCCGGGGCGCGGACGGUGGCCCAGGGCCUGGAGGCGUUGAGGGUGGAGCACACGGGCCUCUUGAGCGGCAUGCAGUCCCAGGAGGCGCCUGCCGCGCGGGACAAGGCCGGCCUCAUCUCGAAGAACAUCGAGAUGAUCGAGCUCGGGCUGGGCGAGGCCCAGGUCAUGCUGGCGUUGGCCAGCCACUUGCAGAUGAUCGAGGCGGAGAAGCAAAAGCUACGCACCCAGGUCAGGAGGCUGUGCCAGGAGAACGCGUGGCUCAGGGACGAGCUGGCAGGCACCCAGCAGAAGCUACAGGCGAGCGAACAGGCGGUGGCACAGCUGGAGGAGGAGAAGCGGCACCUGGAGUUCAUGGCGAGCAUUAGGCAGUACGACGCGGACCCACCGGCGGACGACGAGAAUUCAAAGGACCGGCCCAAGGACGACCUCGUGGUCGACCUGUUCCCCGACGACGACGCCGAGGAGCGAAACAGUAAGUCAAUGUCUCCGACCCCGCCGUCGCAGUUCGCGCAGCAGGUGAAUGCUGGGUACGAGAUACCGGCGAGGUUGCGUACUCUGCACAACCUCGUGAUCCAGUACGCGAGCCAGGGCCGCUACGAGGUCGCGGUACCUCUGUGCAAGCAGGCCCUCGAGGAUCUCGAAAAAACCUCCGGCCAUGACCACCCGGACGUUGCGACGAUGCUCAACAUCCUCGCCCUCGUCUACCGCGACCAGAACAAGUACAAGGAGGCUGCCAAUCUGCUCAACGACGCCCUGGCCAUUCGCGAGAAGACCCUCGGCGAGAACCAUCCGGCUGUCGCUGCCACCCUCAACAACCUCGCCGUGCUCUACGGCAAACGAGGUAAAUACAAGGAAGCCGAGCCGCUGUGCAAGCGCGCCCUCGAGAUCCGGGAGAAGGUCCUGGGCACCGAUCACCCGGACGUGGCGAAACAGCUGAACAAUCUCGCGCUGCUCUGCCAGAAUCAGGGCAAGUACGAGGAGGUCGAGCGCUACUACCAGCGCGCCCUCGAGAUUUACGAGGCGAAACUCGGACCCGACGAUCCCAACGUCGCCAAGACCAAGAACAAUCUCGCCUCCUGUUACCUCAAACAGGGCAAGUACAAGGACGCCGAGGUGCUCUACAAGCAGGUACUCACCAGGGCUCACGAGCGCGAGUUUGGCGCCAUCGACGGCGACAACAAGCCCAUCUGGCAGGUGGCAGAGGAGCGAGAGGAGAACAAACACAGGAACAAAGAGAACGCGCCUUACGGGGAGUACGGUGGCUGGCACAAGGCGGCUAAGGUCGACUCCCCUACCUUCAACACGACACUGAAGAACCUCGGCGCGCUCUACCGAAGACAGGGCAAGUACGAGGCAGCCGAGACGCUCGAGGACUGUGCAAUUAGAUCGCGGCGAGAGGCCCUGGAUCUGGUGAAGCAGCCAAAGGUCGCGCAAAUCCUUGGCGACGAAAAGGGCUCGAAUCGACGGGGCUCACGGACGAGUUUGACCAACAGCGAACACGAGCAACAGCACGAAGAGAUAAAAUAAUAGAUUUGUGGAAACGAUUGGUUCGACCGAAGAGCAAAGCAGUGAGUCUGGGCUGAUUAAAAGGACCGCAAGCACAUGGUUCGCGCCCAAUAAAAGAAAAAUAUCAAUGGCCAAUCGAGUGUCUUUUCUGCGGGAAACUGUUCACACGGGGAUUUUACAUCUUCGCAACAAGAGGAUUUAUCUAAAACAACAACAAAAAAACCAUGGACUUCGCGACGUUUAGACGAAUAACUCCUGGAGCACAAAGUGACAGCUACGUUCGAGAGCUUUUAACACACUUACAGACAACAACCAAUACACACUUACACGCAAACGCGCACACGUAAAAAAACACACACACGUGGCACAUUCCAGUGGAUUAAAAAAAAAGAUGUAUUAUUAAAACGAUGAUAAUCGUCGAAACGCGGCAGCUUAGAGUAACAAAGCCAAGAAAUCUUGUAAGUUGAAUUUUAAAACCGCUCUGACGUGGAUAUUGCAAAAAAAAACACUUUUGUCGUGUGACUUCAAAAGUUAACGAUUGCAGUGUGUAUGAAAAAAAAAAAAAAAAAAAAAAAUUAUUUUUGUGCGUGAGAGAGACUAAUGAAAUACGUGUGCUUGAAAAUGUCAGUAUUUAGACUUAAAUUAUUUCCUAUUUUUUUUUUUUUUUUUUUACAUUAUGACUGUUUGGAUUAAGUAGCUCAAUAGAAUCAUACGUUUAUGAUAUCGAGCGUAAUAUUAAACCGAAGUAUUUUUAUGUAUUAGUAUUUGUAUUGGAAAAAAAAAAAAAAAAAAUGAGAAUUAUUUUAGAACUUUUAUUACGAUUAUUAGCUUAUAACACGUAACUUUUUAUUUAGUUCCAAUAACGUUUCUCUAAACUACAAUAAAGUAUUUUAAAGCAUUACUUAUUAUUAACAUCCAAAUUAGACAAUUUACAAUUUAUGUUCACCUCAAAUUCUGUUCUGAACAAAAAUUUCGCCUUUUGGGAAUACAUGGGCCUAGGAAUUCCCUCCUUUUGCUUGAAUCGAUCGAGAGUUUGCAUUGUUGAUAGGAAAAUUUUAUUUAUGUAAUUAUUAAAACUUAACUUGUGCGAUGUUUUGUACAUAAGAGAAAAAAGAAAAGAAAAACUUAUUUAUAAAGAAAAAAAAAAAACUAGAAUUAUUACGCGAUUUUCAAAUUCCACAUGUUUAAUCGAACGAUGCACGUUUGGAUUACUGAAUCUCGUAGAAGCUAUAUUUAAUUUAAUUUUUCGUCAAUACAUCUCUUUAGGCAACUGCUUGUAUGAUGCUUAAUUUUGUCGAUGAAAACAAUUUCGAACAAGAUUCGAUGAUGAUUGUUUUAUUUAAAGUUUCUGCCAAUACGUAUAAAAUAUGUAUUAUUCUGAAGAUAAAAAUAAAUACUUUAAUGUUUCGUGUGAUGAUAAAAUUUUUUUUAAACUACCGUUGUCGUAUCUAUACAUCGCAUCUAUAAAGUUAAAAAAUUACAAAUUUUUGCGUAGUUUACAUCGCAAAUGCAUUUUACAACUUACGUUACUGUCGAAUAACUAAUAGCGAAUAAUUUUCUGAACCUUUGAAAAUAAGGCGAGAUACUGUGCAUAAAACAUUACAUUCAUGACAAACAAAAUAAUGCUGUACGUUUUUUAUUGUCACGAGCCACAAAAAUUCUGUGAAUACGUGACAUUGGCAGGUACUGCGAAAGUACGUACGUGCCCAAGGGGGCACGAAAAAGUUGACGACCAAAAUAAAAAUGAAAAAGUCCAAUGACGGAAAGCUGAUGUAUGUAUACGUGACAACCUAUACGCAAUUGUACGGUGAAAUGACUUAACGUGUAAGCUUUGAUUUAUAAUAAACAUUUUAACUUGUAA
rnacentral:misc_RNA from 1 species